rnacentral:rRNA from 1 species
AUCCGUUGAAAAGGGUGGGGAUGAGGUGUGGAUAGCGGAGAAAUUCCAAUCGAACCCGGAGAUAGCUGGUUCUCCCCGAAAUAGCUUUAGGGCUAGCGUCGGAAAGAACCUUAGUGAAGGUAGAGCACUGAAUGUGUGAUGGCCCCAUCCCGGGGUACUGAAUACAAUCAAACUGCGAAUGUCAUUAAGGAUGUCCGGCAGUCAGACUGUGAGUGAUAAGGUCCAUGGUCAAGAGGGAAACAGCCCAGACCGCCAGUUAAGGUCCCAAAAUACAGGCUAAGUGGAAAAGGAUGUGGGGAUGCCCAGACAACUAGGAGGUUGGCUCAGAAGCAGCCAUCCUUUAAAGAGUGCGUAACAGCUCACUAGUCGAGUGACCCUGCGCCGAAAAUGUACCGGGGCUAAGCCUGAUACCGAAACUGCGGAUUGUAGGAAACUAUAGUGGUAGGGGAGCGUUGUAUACGAGCAGAAGCCGUACCGUGAGGAGCGGUGGAUUGUAUAGAAGUGAGAAUGCCGGUGUGAGUAGCGAGAUGUAGGUGAGAAUCCUACACACCGAAAGCCCAAGGAUUCCAGGGGAAGGUUCGUCCGCCCUGGGUAAGUCGGGACCUAACGCGAGGCCGAAAGGCGUAGUGGAUGGAAAGCAGGCGAAAGAUUCCUGCACCCGUAUAUGGAGCGAAGGAGUGACGGAGACGGAUAGUGUGACCCUCUUAAUGGAUUGAGGGCGAAGCGAAGCGGCUGGUUACCAGGCAAAUCCGGUAACCAAAAGGCUAGAGCGUGACAGGUAAGCGAAAUCUUAGGAAAGUAGCGAAGCACAUGAUGACGGCUUCCAGGAAAAGCUUCUGGCAAUGCAUAUGCGGCCCGUACCAAAACCGACACAGGUGGGCAGGGAGAGAAUCCCGAGGUGAGCGAGAGAACUGUUGCCAAGGAACUCGGCAAAAUGACUCCGUAAGUUAGCGAGAAGGAGUGCUUAAGCAAUUAAGCCGCAGUGAAGAGGCCCAAGCGACUGUUUAACUAAAACACAGCUCUCUGCGAAGUCGCAAGACGAAGUAUAGGGGGUGACACCUGCCCGGUGCUGGAAGGUUAAGAGGAUCUGUUAAGAGCGAUCUGAAGCAGUGAUCCGAAGCCCCAGUGAACGGCGGCCGUAACUAUAACGGUCCUAAGGUAGCGAAAUUCCUUGUCAGGUAAGUUCUGACCCGCACGAAAGGUGUAACGAUCUGGGCACUGUCUCAACAACCCGCCCGGCGAAAUUGUAGUACCGGUGAAGAUGCCGGUUACCCGCGACUAGACGGAAAGACCCCAUGGAGCUUUACUGUAGCCUAAUAUUGGAUUUCGGUAUUUCACGUACAGGAUAGGUGGGAGACUGGGAAGCACAGGCGUCAGCUUGUGUGGAGCCGACCUUGGGAUACCACUCUUGGAGUGCUGGAAUUCUAACCUGCGGCUUUGAAGCAAGUCGGGGGACAUUGUUAGGUGGGCAGUUUGACUGGGGCGGUCGCCUCCUAAAGAGUAACGGAGGCGCUCAAAGGUUCGCUCUGCAUGGAUGGAAACCAUGCGUCAGAGUGUAAACGCAAAAGCGAGCCUAACUGCGAGAAUGACGGUUCGAGCAGUAACGAAAGUUGGAGUUAGUGAUCCGGCGGUAUGUGAAUGGAAAUGCCGUCGCUCAACGGAUAAAAGCUACCCUGGGGAUAACAGGCUGAUCUCCCCCAAGAGUCCACAUCGACGGGGAGGUUUGGCACCUCGAUGUCGGCUCAUCGCAUCCUGGGGCUGAAUUCGGUCCCAAGGGUUUGGCUGUUCGCCAAUUAAAGCGGUACGCGAGCUGGGUUCAGAACGUCGUGAGACAGUUCGGUCCCUAUCUGUCGUGGGCGCAGGAUAUUUGAAAGGAGCUGUCCCUAGUACGAGAGGACCGGGAUGGACGCACCUCUGGUGCACCAGUUGUCACGCCAGUGGCACAGCUGGGCAGCUAUGUGCGGAACGGAUAAACGCUGAAGGCAUCUAAGCGUGAAGCCGCCCUUAAGAUAAGAUAUCCCUUCUGUUUACAGAGUAAGACCCCUUGAAGACUACAAGGUUGAUAGGCUCAAAGUGUAAGCACGGUGACGUGUUUAGCUAGCGAGUACUAAUCGGUCGAGGGCUUAACCU